rnacentral:rRNA from 1 species
GGGUUGUGAGGUUAAGCGACUAAGCGUACACGGUGGAUGCCCAGGCAGUCAGAGGCGAUGAAGGGCGUGCUAAUCUGCGAUAAGCGUCGGUAAGGUGAUAUGAACCGCAACAACCGACGAUACCCGAAUGGGGAAACCCAGUGCAAUCCGUUGCACUAUCAUGUCAUGAAUACAUAGUGGCAUGAGGCGAACCGGGGGAACUGAAACAUCUAAGUACCCCGAGGAAAAGAAAUCAACCGAGAUUCCCCCAGUAGCGGCGAGCGAACGGGGAACAGCCCAGAACCUGAAUCAGUUUGUGCCUUAGUGGAAGCGUCUGGAAAGUCGCGCAGUAAAGGGUGACAGCCCCGUACACAAAAAGGCACUUGCUGUGAGUUCGAUGAGUAGGGCGGGACACGUGACAUCCUGUCUGAAUAUGGGGGGACCAUCCUCCAAGGCUAAAUACUCCUGACUGACCGAUAGUGAACCAGUACCGUGAGGGAAAGGCGAAAAGAACCCCGGCGAGGGGAGUGAAACAGAACCUGAAACCGUGUACGUACAAGCAGUGGGAGCACCUUCGUGGUGUGACUGCGUACCUUUUGUAUAAUGGGUCAGCGACUUAUAUUCUGUAGCAAGGUUAACCGUAUAGGGGAGCCGCAGGGAAACCGAGUCUUAACUGGGCGUUAAGUUGCAGGGUAUAGACCCGAAACCCGGUGAUCUAGCCAUGGGCAGGUUGAAGGUUGGGUAACACUAACUGGAGGACCGAACCGACUAAUGUUGAAAAAUUAGCGGAUGACCUGUGGCUGGGGGUGAAAGGCCAAUCAAACCGGGAGAUAGCUGGUUCUCCCCGAAAGCUAUUUAGGUAGCGCCUCGUGAAUUCAUCUCCGGGGGUAGAGCACUGUUUCGGCUAGGGGGCCAUCCCGGCUUACCAACCCGAUGCAAACUGCGAAUACCGGAGAAUGUUAUCACGGGAGACACACGGCGGGUGCUAACGUCCGUCGUGAAGAGGGAAACAACCCAGACCGCCAGCUAAGGUCCCAAAGUCAUGGUUAAGUGGGAAACGAUGUGGGAAGGCACAGACAGCCAGGAUGUUGGCUUAGAAGCAGCCAUCAUUUAAAGAAAGCGUAAUAGCUCACUGGUCGAGUCGGCCUGCGCGGAAGAUGUAACGGGGCUAAACCAUGCACCGAAGCUGCGGCAGCGGACGUAUCACCCAAGCAGAUUCACUGAAGUGGAUAACGAUUGACGGAGCGCAGCGACGUCAAUGCGCCCAUCAAAGUCGAGUCGGCUUCGGGAUACGUCCGUUGGGUAGGGGAGCGUUCUGUAAGCCGUCGAAGGUGUGCUGUGAGGCAUGCUGGAGGUAUCAGAAGUGCGAAUGCUGACAUAAGUAACGAUAAAGCGGGUGAAAAGCCCGCUCGCCGGAAGACCAAGGGUUCCUGUCCAACGUUAAUCGGGGCAGGGUGAGUCGACCCCUAAGGCGAGGCCGAAAGGCGUAGUCGAUGGGAAACGGGUUAAUAUUCCCGUACUGGGUGUUACUGCGAAGGGGGGACGGAGAAGGCUAUGUUAGCCGGGCGACGGUUGUCCCGGUUUAAGCGUGCAGGCUUGAGUUCCAGGCAAAUCCGGAACUCUUUAAGGCUGAGGCGUGAUGACGAGGCACCACGGUGCUGAAGUAACAAAUGCCCUGCUUCCAGGAAAAGCCUCUAAGCAUCAGGUAACAUCCAAUCGUACCCCAAACCGACACAGGUGGUCAGGUAGAGAAUACCAAGGCGCUUGAGAGAACUCGGGUGAAGGAACUAGGCAAAAUGGUGCCGUAACUUCGGGAGAAGGCACGCUGGCGCGUAGGUGAAGCGACUUGCUCGUGGAGCUGAAGCCAGUCGAAGAUACCAGCUGGCUACAACUGUUUAUUAAAAACACAGCACUGUGCAAACACGAAAGUGGACGUAUACGGUGUGACGCCUGCCCGGUGCCGGAAGGUUAAUUGAUGGGGUUAUCCGCAAGGAGAAGCUCUUGAUCGAAGCCCCGGUAAACGGCGGCCGUAACUAUAACGGUCCUAAGGUAGCGAAAUUCCUUGUCGGGUAAGUUCCGACCUGCACGAAUGGCGUAAUGAUGGCCAGGCUGUCUCCACCCGAGACUCAGUGAAAUUGAACUCGCUGUGAAGAUGCAGUGUACCCGCGGCAAGACGGAAAGACCCCGUGAACCUUUACUACAGCUUGACACUGAACAUUGAGCCUUGAUGUGUAGGAUAGGUGGGAGGCUUCGAAGCGUGGACGCCAGUCUGCGUGGAGCCAACCUUGAAAUACCACCCUUUAACGUUUGAUGUUCUAACCUGGCGCCGUUACCCGGCGUGGGGACAGUGUCUGGUGGGUAGUUUGACUGGGGCGGUCUCCUCCCAAAGAGUAACGGAGGAGCACGAAGGUCAGCUAAUCACGGUCGGACAUCGUGAGGUUAGUGCAAUGGCAUAAGCUGGCUUGACUGCGAGAGUGACGGCUCGAGCAGGUGCGAAAGCAGGUCAUAGUGAUCCGGUGGUUCUGAAUGGAAGGGCCAUCGCUCAACGGAUAAAAGGUACUCCGGGGAUAACAGGCUGAUACCGCCCAAGAGUUCAUAUCGACGGCGGUGUUUGGCACCUCGAUGUCGGCUCAUCACAUCCUGGGGCUGAAGUAGGUCCCAAGGGUACGGCUGUUCGCCGUUUAAAGUGGUACGCGAGCUGGGUUUAGAACGUCGUGAGACAGUUCGGUCCCUAUCUGCCGUGGGCGCUGGAAGAUUGAGAGGGGUUGCUCCUAGUACGAGAGGACCGGAGUGAACGCACCGCUGGUGUUCGGGUUGUCAUGCCAAUGGCAUUGCCCGGUAGCUAAGUGCGGAAAAGAUAAGCGCUGAAAGCAUCUAAGCGCGAAACUUGCCUCGAGAUGAAUCUUCCCUGACUCCUUGAGAGUCCUGAAGGGACGUUGAAGACGACGACGUUGAUAGGCCGGGUGUGUAAGCGCAGCGAUGCGUUGAGCUAACCGGUACUAAUGACCCGUGAGGCUUAACCUUACAACGCCAGAAGCGUUCUG